GGAUGGAACUCUGGAGAGCCCCUAGAAAGUGACUGUACUUGCUAGGGCGCCGAAGGGGCAAGUCGGCGGCGAAGGCUGCUGAUGAAACUCUCAGGCAAAAGGACAGAGCAAUCGUU
rnacentral:ncRNA from 1 species